rnacentral:snRNA from 1 species
GUGCUUACUUUGGCAGCACAUAUACUGAAAUUGGAGCAAUACAGAAAAGAUUAGUGUGGCCCCUGUGCAAGGAUGAUAAAAGAUUCAUGAAGUGUUCAAAAUUUCA